ensembl:lncRNA
GGCCUUGUUCCCACCUGGACCCUCACCCCAGCCUUCUUCACACGCUCUCGGCCCUCAGUCUCUCUGUCCAGUCCGUCCCCACCUGGCCCAGGGGGUCAUUCUAAUCUCAGAACUGGCCUUGCCCCUCCCCUGCUCACCCACCUUCCAUGGCUCCCCAGUGCCCCGGGGAGAGGAGGAGAGAGAAAGCAAAAGCGUCCAAGCUAGGCAGAACCAGGUGAUGGCGACACAGCUUGAGAGGAGAGCUGGCAGGAUGCUGAGUCUGGAGGGUACAGAGACAGAGAGGGACAGAGGGAGAGAUACGAGCCAGAGAGAGACACACUCAGAGACUCACAGACGGAGACACAGACGUCAGACACCCAGAAGGUGAGAUGGGGGGCAGAGAGGCAGGACACAGCCACACGCUUUCACUCACUCAUGUGGCCCAUCUGGCCUGGGCUGAGCUGCCAUCUGCCGCCAGUUCUUGGAGCCACACGGAGCUCCACGCGGAGUUAUAAGCAUCUCUUUGCCGGGCUGUCCCACCCCUAGGGCUGGUGGCCACAUGCCUUAGCGGUCAGACGGUGCAAUCUUUCGGUCCACGCCCCUCCGCCUACCACCUCCCAGAUCCGGAUGCCCAGAGCAGGGGUUGGGGCCAGGCACUGAGGGACUUCUGGCCCAGAACCCCAGGCUGCCCUCACCUCCAGCUAACACCCCAUUCUUGAUUCCUGGAGGUCUCCCCGUCUCAGUGUCUCCUUUGCGUUAGGUGUAUUCUCUGACACAGUGGCUCAUUUAUAUUCAUCCAUUCUUCUUUUCUAAUAUCAUCGUUUAAAGCUAUAAAUCUGUUGCUUCCCACAAGUUUUGCUGUGUAAUAUAUAUAUAUACUUUAUCAUUCAACUCUCAACAUUCUAAAAUUUCCAUUAGGAGUUUUCCCAUUAUGAUUUAAUUUUCAUCGUGAAUUAUUUAGAGAGGUGGUUGUGUUUUAACUUCUGCGUGUGUGGGUAUUCUGUCAAUGUGCUCACUGAAUUUUAAUUUUCUUGCAUCGUGGUUGGAGAACGUGACUAUGACACCGAAUCCUUUUUAUGAUACAUAACUGUGUUGAAAUCUCACGCUUUUUGUGUGUGCUUUUUCUCCCCAAAUCCCCCCAGUACGUAGUUGUAUAUUCUAGUUGUGAGUGCCUCUGGUUGUGGCAUGGAGACGCCGCCUCAGCGUGGCUUGAGAGCGGUGCCACAUCCAUGCCCACGAUCCGAACCAGUGAAACCCUGGGCCACCGAAGCAGAGCGCACGAACUUAACCACUCAGCCACAGCACCAGCCCCAUUUUUUAUCUUUUUAAAUCUCACACUUUUAAUGGGUGAAUCAGUCCAUUUGCCCCUGUAGUCUUACCAGUUUUUAUAUUAAGUACUAUGAAGCUAUUUUAUUAGGAAUAUCCAGGUUUAGAAUUGUUAUAUUUGUUAUAAAGAACUUUUUAUUAUUUUGUAGCAAUCCACUAUGUCUAAUAAUGGUUUCAGUGCGAAUGCCUUAUUUGACUGACAUUAGUAAAGCUACGGUACUUAUCUAAGGGGUAAUAUUUCUUUUCUUUUCAUCCCUGCUUUCAACUUUUCUAUGAGCUUUUAGUGUGUCUUUUGUAAACAGCGUAUAACAGUCUUUUAAAUUGUAAUCUGGGGGCUUGCCCCAUGGCUGAGUGGUUAAGUUCACGUGCUCCGCUUUGGGCGCCCAGGGUCCAGCAGUUCGGAUCCCGGGCAUGGACCUACACACUGCUCAUCAGGCCAUGCUGUGGUGGCGUCCCACAUGGAAGAACUAGAAUGACUUACAACUAUGUACUGGGGCUUUGGGGGGGAAAAAAAAAGGAGGAAGAUUGGCAACAGAUCUUAGCUCAGGGCCAAUCUUCCUCACCAAAAAGCAUACUAAAAAAAAAAGAAUUCUAAUUCUGAGUUUUAACCACUUGCAUUUAUUGUGAUUAUUGAUAUAUUUAGCACUAUUGAUAUUAUCUUACUUUUAAAUUACUAUUUAUCCUGCUUUUUCCAUGCAUCCUAGCUUUUCUGGGUUAUUUGAUUUAGUGGGAUUUUCCCCCCUUAUUUUAUUUUUCUCUUUCUGCUUGUUUGGAAUUUAUUUCCCUAUUUCUAUUCUUUAGUGUUACUCUUGCUAUUUUAUCAUGUUGUGUUUUCCUUAUCAUGUAAUUCACAAUAUUUUCUAAUUUCCGUUAUGAUUUCUUGUUUGAGCUGUGGUUUAUUUAGAAGCAUAUUUUAAAAGCCAGAACACAUGGGGCUUUUCUGGUUAUCAUUUUGUCACGAUUUCUAGCUUAAUCACAAUCUGGUCAGACAACAUCCUGUGCAUAUUGUAACUUUGAACUUGGUUGCGACUUGCUUCGUAGCUCAGUUUUCGUAAAGGCUGUGUGAAGUUUUUU